AUGAACGCUAGCUACAGGCUUAACACAUGCAAGUCGAGGGGCAGCAUGGUCUUAGCUUGCUAAGGCCGAUGGCGACCGGCGCACGGGUGAGUAACACGUAUCCAACCUGCCGUCUACUCUUGGACAGCCUUCUGAAAGGAAGAUUAAUACAAGAUGGCAUCAUGAGUCCGCAUGUUCACAUGAUUAAAGGUAUUCCGGUAGACGAUGGGGAUGCGUUCCAUUAGAUAGUAGGCGGGGUAACGGCCCACCUAGUCUUCGAUGGAUAGGGGUUCUGAGAGGAAGGUCCCCCACAUUGGAACUGAGACACGGUCCAAACUCCUACGGGAGGCAGCAGUGAGGAAUAUUGGUCAAUGGGCGAGAGCCUGAACCAGCCAAGUAGCGUGAAGGAUGACUGCCCUAUGGGUUGUAAACUUCUUUUAUAAAGGAAUAAAGUCGGGUAUGGAUACCCGUUUGCAUGUACUUUAUGAAUAAGGAUCGGCUAACUCCGUGCCAGCAGCCGCGGUAAUACGGAGGAUCCGAGCGUUAUCCGGAUUUAUUGGGUUUAAAGGGAGCGUAGAUGGAUGUUUAAGUCAGUUGUGAAAGUUUGCGGCUCAACCGUAAAAUUGCAGUUGAUACUGGAUAUCUUGAGUGCAGUUGAGGCAGGCGGAAUUCGUGGUGUAGCGGUGAAAUGCUUAGAUAUCACGAAGAACUCCGAUUGCGAAGGCAGCCUGCUAAGCUGCAACUGACAUUGAGGCUCGAAAGUGUGGGUAU
rnacentral:rRNA from 1 species